AACCGGAUGCAUUCCCAGGUUUGGCAUCUGAAGCUGAUAGUAUGCAGGAUUUGCUGCCGUGAUUUCUGAAAUAUAGUUUCCAAUUGAAUUAUUUCGUUAUAGGCAUGUAUUUUCAUGUACAGGCUGUGUUAUUGAUUGUGAUUCAAGAAAUACUGGUACCAUGGGUACUGUGUGACUAUUGUAACUUGGCUCUAUACAAACCAACCACAGCGAACUGCUACGACACAAGUCAUCCUUGUCAUGCUGUCGAUGGUGACCACAACCAGACAUUUGUUUCCUGUAAGUCUGACCAUCCCUGGUGGCAAGUGGAUCUUGGGAUGUCACACAAAAUAAAUUCCAUCAACAUUUCCUACUUGCAAGGA